UACGAAGGGGGCUAGCGUUGCUCGGAAUCACUGGGCGUAAAGGGUGCGUAGGCGGGUCUUUAAGUCAGAGGUGAAAUCCUGGAGCUCAACUCCAGAACUGCCUUUGAUACUGAGGGUCUUGAGUAUGACAGAGGUGAGUGGAACUGCGAGUGUAGAGGUGAAAUUCGUAGAUAUUCGCAAGAACACCAGUGGCGAAGGCGGCUCACUGGGUCAUUACUGACGCUGAGGCACGAAAGCGUGGGGAAGCAAACAGGG
rnacentral:rRNA from 1 species